GGGGGCGUAAAGGUUUCGACGGGGAUUGUGCAGUAUGAUAAGCGAGCAGAGUUGGCAUCGUCUCUUUAAAACGGGGCACGUUUAAAAUUAAACGCUAAAAGAAAUAUUUCUGUAAGCUUCAACAGAAACUUACAGGUAGCUGCCUAAGUCAGCUACUGUCGCCCACAGGGGGACCACGACCUGUGUUGCGGCAUGACGCAGUGGUGAACGAUUCAGCGGUCUGUUCACACCGUAGAAUUGUAUUGGAACUACCGAGGAUAGCAGCCUGUUUAUCGGCAGCUUUUGUCGGGAAUUUUAGUAGAUAAACUACGCUCGUAGAAAGUUGUAUGAAUCGAUUUUCGGACACGAGUUCGACUCUCGUCGCCUCCACCA
rnacentral:tmRNA from 1 species